UUUAGGCAAAGCUUUAUGGGGGUGACUGUCUUAUUUGAAGUUUUAAAUCUUCACAUGAUUUUGUAUUCCUCUUUGUUACUGAAGGUGCGAUGUUUAAAUCCACAAAACAAUGUCAAAGUUACAGGGUGAUCAUGAGGCCUUUAGAAGUAUCUAACA